rnacentral:rRNA from 1 species
GCUCAACCGAGGAAGUGCUUCGAAAACUGGUAAACUUGAGUGCAGAAGAGGAAAGUGGAACUCCAUGUGUAGCGGUGGAAUGCGUAGAUAUAUGGAAGAACACCAGUGGCGAAGGCGGCUUUCUGGUCUGUAACUGACGCUGAGAUUCGAAAGCAUGGGUAGCAAACAGGAUUAGAUACCCUGGUAGUCCAUGCCGUAAACGAUGAGUGCUAAGUGUUGGAGGGUUUCCGCCCUUCAGUGCUGCAGCUAACGCAUUAAGCACUCCGCCUGGGGAGUACGAUCGCAAGAUUGAAACUCAAAGGAAUUGACGGGGGCCCGCACAAGCGGUGGAGCAUGUGGUUUAAUUCGAAGCAACGCGAAGAACCUUACCAGGUCUUGACAUACCAUGAAAAGCUAAGAGAUUAGUCUUUCCCUUCGGGGACAUGGAUACAGGUGGCGCAUGGUUGUCGUCAGCUCGUGUCGUGAGAUGUUGGGUUAAGUCCCGCAACGAGCGCAACCCUUAUUAUCAGUUGCCAGCAUUCAGUUGGGCACUCUGGUGAGACUGCCGGUGACAAACCGGAGGAAGGUGGGGACGACGUCAAAUCAUCAUGCCCCUUAUGACCUGGGCUACACACGUGCUACAAUGGUCGGUACAACG